rnacentral:lncRNA from 1 species
CGCCAGUCAUCUCAGCAGUGUUAGUCUGGCAGUGAGUGCUAACCAGUAGGGAAGUUAAGAACAGCAUACCUUUGCAAAGCUUUAGAUUGUGAAUCCUGAGAUGGAACCACUCAAAUGGAGAGGUCUGUUUCUAUGGCAACAGGAACAGCUUCUAUUGUUUUAGUUCGUCACUCACCACAGCAAUGUUUGCCUUGGGAGACUGUACUAAGCAUUGCUAGCCACAUUUUGUUGUGGAUUCAAGAGACUGCAUGGCAAUGCUGCUAUGGUUACCAGGUUUCCUCCCUCCAGAAACAGUAAUGAGACCAUCCUGUGUGGUAUGCUGUGAACCGGUGAGGAGAGCUGGAGAAAGAUGGACUGGCAGACUAUUCAGAUCAUAGGCACCCUCUAUAAAGCUUCACACACAAGAUGCUGAUUAAGUUAGGUGCAUUUUCAUUUAUCUCAAUUGAGGAAUAUGUUAAGAUCAAUCAAAAGUAAAUUUCGUGCUUUGAAAAAAUUAGUCUAACUCAUAAGUUCUUUCACUCA